GAGGAGGGUCUGGGGAACCCCGAGGGGACCAUGGUUAUGGAGGACAACCAGACAACACCUCCUCCUGAACCCACAGAGGAACCAGCUGAGCAGCACAGGACCACACACAGUCUCACUGAGUCAGUAGACAUGGAGGAUGGGAAGCCUGAUCUGCUGCUGGUCAAAGAGGAGACAAU